GACGUUUGAGAGCUCAGUCAGUGUAGCAGUGUCUGUCAGCCUGCCUCUGCCUCUGCUUCCACGCUACAGCUGCUACUUUUCCUCCCGCUGCAGAACAACGGAGCCCAGCCGAGAGGACAGGAGCUGGACAGAGAGAGGGAGAGAGAGAAAGAAAAAUAGGAACGAGAGCUUUUUCCUCAAGAUUCAGGAUCAUGUUCUACUGCAGCCAUCCUCAGAAACCCUGAGUGGAGGGUUUUUUCUCUUUUCUUUUCUCUCUCUCUCUCUGUCAGACUGCCUAGCAACAUGAGGGACUAGCCGCAGCGCUUCCACCACAGCUCGGCUCUGUCGUCCCUCAGCACUGCUUUCCUUUCCUUCAGCCGAGCAGGCUGAGGAUAACAGAUGCAUAAAAGAGCAGUGAAGAGGAAACAAAUGGCACAGUGACGGCUUCUGUUUAAUUUUCGGGCACAUUGCAAUAAGGAAAGUGGGGACAGGAGGAGAAAGAGAGAAACCGGUGCGACCGUUGGAGAGAUAGGAAAGGUGUAGUGCUGAGACAAGGAUUGAAAAGAGAGGGGAGAAAUAACCCUAAACCUGAAGUCUUGGUGAGGCAGAGGAGGAGAGGACACAGGCUGUGGAACACACUGUGACAAAUGGAUGAGUGUUACACCAACGAUAAUACAUUCAGACCCGGGCGAGGUGGAUGUGUGUUGCGUGAUUAGGCAGACAGGGUGGAAGUGGACAUUACCCCAGAUUUCUGAGGAGAGGAGCAGUGUUGGCGUGCCGAGUGUGUCGACAGACGGCACCAGUGAUCACACAGUCCGUCUGCCAGUCACAGGAGGAGAUACCAAUCGCACUGGUACAACCCCGUACGGGGGGGGGGCUGACUGAGAUAACAUAUACACUGAAAUUCCUAAAACACACACUCGACCCCCCCUUCUGGAUGGACUCCAAAGACAAAGAACUCUGUCGAGAACCAAUGGGAUACUGACACCAGGCUGGAGGAGACUGUCUAUCACCUACAAGCAACCUACCAGAAGCCAGGACUACCAGAAUCUACCUACGUCAUUUCAAUGUAUAAAAUGAACUGUAAGACAUGUGUCCGGUCUCUUUUUUCCAAUAGUUCACUAAGAGCUUGACGAAACGGGGCCGUGCAGCACGUUUUGCCAGAUAUCAUUACUCAUGAAUAAACGGCCUUUACUAUACCUUAUCCGCCUUGUCCAGAGUCUCAACUUGGUCUCGUUUCUCAUGUAUCAUUCAUCAACACUAGCUAAAGUUAACCAAUACGUUCAAUGUUAGCUAGCUAACAUUAGGCUAUAACUAGCAAUGCAAAAUGGCAUUCUGAGAAAACAUCACGUUACACACAAGUUAAUGUUAGCUAGCAA
rnacentral:lncRNA from 1 species